CGCUGCCAGAGUGAUCUUUUAAAAAUCCAGGCGUCUCAAGUGGCUAAAGAAUAAAUGCAUGAAAAUUAAGAGCCAGCUCUGCCUGCGAAAGAGAACAGGAGCAAGCUGGCUGUUGGCUGUCAUCUGGAGUCACCUACUGGGAAGUGCCGAAUCACCCCAGACCAAGGACAGGAAGGAGGCUUGGUCUUCUGGUUGAGUGAGGAAGAGGUUUCAGUUUGGUGAUGGCAACGUCCUUAAGACUUCACUUGCUUCCCUCUCUCUGUUCUUUUGAGAGCGGGUCUCCACCAAGCAUUUUAGCAGGGUCUCACUCUGUCACCCCAGGCUGGAGUGCAGUGGCAGGAUGGCAGCUCACUGCAGCCUCGACCACCCUGGCUCAAGCUAUCCUCCCACCUCAGCCUAAGAGAAACUCUUGGAACGGAAAACCAAAUACCACAUAUCCUCAGUUAUAAGUGGGAGCUAAAUGAUGAGAACACGUGGACACAAAGAGGGGAACAGCAGACACCGAGGCCUACUUGAGGGUGGAAGUUGGGAGGAGGGAGAGGAGCAGAAAAGAUAACUUUUGGGUACUGGGCUUAAUACCCGGGUGAUGAAAUAAUCUGUACAACAAACCCCCAUGAGAUGAGUUUUCCUGUGUAACACCGAACCUAAAAUAAAAGCUAAAAAUAAAAUUAAGUUAAAAG
rnacentral:lncRNA from 1 species